GUACCUUUGGGAACAUUCGAUAAAACUGGAACGAUACAGAGAUGAUUAGCAUGACCCCUGUGCAAGGAUGACACGCACAAAUAGAGAAAUAGUUCAAACUUUU